CCCGUAGUUUAAAUGUUUGGCCGUUGGAAGCAUCAAAUGCAUCAAUACCCUUCCACAACUGUUUCAAUUCCUCUAUUAAAGGUUGUAGGAAAAUAUUAAUAUCAUUGCCUGGACCCUUAUCUCCUGGAAAAAUCAUUGACAAGAUAAGUGAUGAUUGUUUCAUGCACAUCUACGAUGGUAAAUUGUAAGGUAUCAAAAUGACUGGCCAAGUACUGUAGGUAGAACUCAGGGUCCAAAAUGGAUUGAAGCCAUCAGAAGCUAAGCCAAACCUAACACUGCGAACAUCAGAGGCAAAAUCAGGAUGCCUAUCAUCAAAUGCUUUCCAUUGAAGAUUAUCUGCUGGAUGUCUCAACAUUCCAUCCUU
rnacentral:lncRNA from 1 species